AUAUUUUCAUCUUAACGAGUGUACUUACACAGCAACCACCGUUACAAUGUCGGCUGUGAAAUUCACACUAGUCUUAAUGUUCGCACUCAUACUCAUGGUGCUAGUAGACGCGCAAAGACCACGGUUCCCCGGCUUGGACGAUGCCCCAGGGGGGUGAGUUGGCACUACAGUGUUCUGCCAAGUGUUCAUGCUGCAUGCACUUUGCACAAGUGAGCCAUACACAGCACCUCUGUGGUGCAUGGCGAUACCUCUCACACUAAAGACGCGCAGAGGUUUCGGAUCGUGAUAAAGAAGGGCGCUAACAAGAGCAGCUUACACGGACUGUGUGUGAACAUAAGUUGCACUCCGGGAAACGGCCACGGCGAUUGCGGCAGUGAUUGCGAAUGUCGGGCUACCGGCUUCACUGGCGUGAACGGAUACCACUGUGUGCUUGCGAUAGAACUCCCAGCGAACUAAACCCGCAUAACCGACCUCUGUAAAUAAAAAGAAGGAAAUAAAAAUUGUUGCCACGACUCAGAAAAAGUUCAUGUGAAUCCUUCUUGAAGCGCAGCGAUGGCGAAGAGGUGAAGCACCUGCCUUGACCGCGAAGGAGAGUACUCGCUCAAUGUUGCUUCCUGUC
rnacentral:lncRNA from 1 species